rnacentral:rRNA from 1 species
CCUACGGGUGGCAGCAGUGAGGAAUAUUGGUCAAUGGGCGUAAGCCUGAACCAGCCAAGUCGCGUGCGGGAUGAAGGUUCUAUGGAUCGUAAACCGCUUUUAUACGGGAAUAAAGCGCGGGACGUGUCUCGUUUUGUAUGUACCUUACGAAUAAGGAUCGGCUAACUCCGUGCCAGCAGCCGCGGUAAUACGGAGGAUCCGAGCGUUAUCCGGAUUUAUUGGGCUUAAAGGGUGCGUAGGCGGCGGUUUAAGUCAGCGGUGAAAGUCUGUGGCUCAACCAUAGAAUUGCAGUGGAAACUGGGCGGCUUGAUUAUGUUAGAGGCAGGCGGAAUGCGUGGUGUAGCGGUGAAAUGCUUAGAUAUCACGAGGAACCCCGAUUGCGAAGGCAGCCUGCCGGGCCAUGACUGACGCUGAGGCACGAAAGCGUGGGGAUCAAACAGGAUUAGAUACCCUAGUAGUC